rnacentral:rRNA from 1 species
UACGUAGGGCGCAAGCGUUGUCCGGAAUUAUUGGGCGUAAAGAGCUCGUAGGCGGCUUGUCACGUCGGGUGUGAAAGCCCGGGGCUUAACCCCGGGUCUGCAGUCGAUACGGGCAGACUAGAGUGCGGUAGGGGAGAACGGAAUUCCCGGUGUAGCGGUGAAAUGCGCAGAUAUCAGGAGGAACACCGAUGGCGAAGGCAGGUCUCUGGGCAUUAACUGACGCUGAGGAGCGAAAGCAUGGGGAGCGAACAGG